rnacentral:rRNA from 1 species
AAUCAACGCUGGCGGCGUGCCUCAGACAUGCAAGUCGAACGAUUAAAGCUCUCUUCGGAGAGUGCAUAGAGUGGCGCACGGGUGAGUAACACGUAAGUAAUCUACCUUUGAGUGGGGAAUGCCGUCCGGAAACGGACGCUAAUACCGCAUAAUGCAGCGGCAUCGCAAGAUGACAGUUGUUAAAGAUUUAUCGCUUGAAGAGGAGCUUGCGGCAGAUUAGCUAGUUGGUAAGGUAAUGGCUUACCAAGGCUACGAUCUGUAACCGGUCUAAGAGGACGGUCGGUCACACUGACACUGAACAACGGGUCAGACUCCUACGGGAGGCAGCAGUCGGGAAUUUUGGGCAAUGGGCGAAAGCCUGACCCAGCAACGCCGCGUGAAGGAUGAAGUAUUUCGGUAUGUAAACUUCGAAAGAAUGGGAAGAAUAAAUGACGGUACCAUUUAUAAGGUCCGGCUAACUACGUGCCAGCAGCCGCUGUAAC